rnacentral:lncRNA from 1 species
CUUCUUCCUUUCGUGGCGACCCACAUAAUACUUCUCUAUUCAAUCAAAAGUGUUUUGGUGGGUUAAUAAGAACAAAAACCAUGGAAUUAAAUAAGCAUAUAAUUUCAUUUAUUUGUAUAUUUUAAUCCUUAAUGUAACGAGGCAAUGGAACAUUCAAGCUUUACAUAUAGCUUAUUGCAUAAUGUAUACCUGUCCAUCUAAAUAAUUUAUUUCGAAAUUUGUCGUCAUCGAUAUAUAUGCACGUAUUGGUAUAGAUCAUUGCAACGGUUUAGUUGUUAAUAACUGUAUGUAUGAAAGCCUUUUUUCAAAAAAAAAAAAAAAAAAAAAAACUGUAUGUCUGUAUUGAUAUAAAAGCCAAGAUUGGCGCUUAAUAACAUGAUAAAAAAAUUAAGAAAUGUAAAUACUGAAAUAGUCCGCUUAAUAACAUGAUAACAAAAUUAAGAAAUGUAAAUACUGAAAUAGUCGUGACGACCAAAUUUACAGGAUUUUCUUUCUAAUGGAAAAUCUUGGAGGCAGUGCCGUGCGAAGAGUUUUAGGGGCUUAAGG